UCCAGGGUAGCCUAGUGGACAUGGCAUCUGCCCGGUAAGCGGAGGGGUUCGUUUCCCAUCCCUGGAC